UGGGGAAUUUUGGACAAUGGGCGAAAGCCUGAUCCAGCAAUGCCGCGUGUGUGAAGAAGGCCUUCGGGUUGUAAAGCACUUUUGUCCGGAAAGAAAUCCUUGGCUCUAAUACAGUCGGGGGAUGACGGUACCGGAAGAAUAAGCACCGGCUAACUACGUGCCAGCAGCCGCGGUAAUACGUAGGGUGCAAGCGUUAAUCGGAAUUACUGGGCGUAAAGCGUGCGCAGGCGGUUUGCUAAGACCGAUGUGAAAUCCCCGGGCUCAACCUGGGAACUGCAUUGGUGACUGGCAGGCUAGAGUAUGGCAGAGGGGGGUAGAAUUCCACGUGUAGCAGUGAAAUGCGUAGAGAUGUGGAGGAAUACCGAUGGCGAAGGCAGCCCCCUGGGCCAAAUACUGACGCUCAUGCACGAAAGCGUGGGGAGCAAACAGGAUUAGAUACCCUGGUAGUCCACGCCCUAAAACGAUGUCAACUAGUUGUUGGGGAUUCACUUCCUUAGUAACGUAGCUAACGCGUGAAGUUGACCGCCUGGGGAGUACGGUCGCAAGAUUAAAACUCAAUGAAUUGACGGGGUCAUAGCUG
rnacentral:rRNA from 1 species